rnacentral:lncRNA from 1 species
UAUAUUUAUAUUAUGAAUUAAUUGUAACAAAGUAAUUCAUUUUGAUGAUGUAGGUUUAAUAUGUAGGACUUCACAUAAAAGCCUUUUUUGAAUGUUUUGCCAUGUUUAAAGGUAUGGCUGCUGUUGCAGUUAAAGAAAGUUGUGCAGAUUCUGUCCCUACUCCCACCAUUGUGUUAGACCCUGGGUUCAUCAAUGUAGCUAUGCCAGUCGUAGUACGCUGUGAGUCAACAAGAGGCACAAAGUGCCACUUCUACAAAGACCACGACCCCAACCCAAUAAGAGAAGUGAAUUCCGGUGUUUGCCAAUUCAUAUUGUUCUGGAAUGAGUUCAAAAAGUGGAACAAGACUGAAGUAGAUCUCAGCUGUGCUAUUCUACAGAAGAGAGAUGGGAAAACGAUAUCUUCAGAACGAAGUGACACUCGAAGACUUCAUGUGAGUGAUCCCAUUGGAAUACCCAGGAUUUUUGUGGAAAAUACAGGAACUUACUUAAGUCUUCGGUGUGAGGCCAAGCAUGCUGGUACCUCAUGCUACUAUUACUUGAACAACACUGAGUCCCCCUUUAAAAGUCAGCCCUACAAAGACAAUGUCUGUGUUGGGAAAGUAUCGGAAAAGGAUCUGCUGAGGAAGAGGAGCAGUGCUGGAGAGAUCUUCAUCACCUGUGCUGUGGAGCUGGUGGUAGAGGGUGGAGAUACUGUGACAUCACAGCAUAGUGAACCGUUCAAGAUUGCCAUAGAUGACUCUCCUGGGCCCACCACUUCCUUAUCAACAUUCAGUACCAAUAAAACCAGUGUAACUAAUGGAGAAGUCAUCGACCCCUUUAGAGUCCUCCUCGGAGUUCCCCCUCUACAUCAGUCUGAGUUUUGGGGCCUUUAGCCUUAUUCUGCUGGUUGUAUCUGUCCUGUGUUUUCUCCGGUACAAGCGAGGUGAUCAACAAGACUGGUCUGCCAAUAGGUAAGUGAGUGAUCUAUUUGUAUUAUAAUUACAUUAUAUUUGUCUUCAUACACAUCAUUAUACAGUGUCAUAUCUAAAUGUACUGGGUAAAUUGUCUCAACAGAUCCCAAUGGAACCAGAACAAAGAAGUUAUCUGUAAGUAUGAAAGGAAACCUACCACAACAUAUUCAUUUAUCAGAAAAGUGGUUAUAUUCAGUGCUCUACAUUUCACCUUUCUCUUAUUUGAAACAGAUGCAAAUGCUUAAUUAUUUCAACAAGGCGGUCUGAAUGUGGGGGAUGUGACCAUGCUGCAUUGUACUAGUUCAAGUGUAAGUGGUAACAGUUCACCUGUUGAUGAACUCCCUCCACAUCCUUUCUCUGCUUCCUGAUUUACAUAUCUGCCACUCUCUGCUCUUCAUGUAGUCUGACACCCUCUGUUCCUCUCAGAUGAAUGGUGUAAUAUCUUACUGGGCAAGAAAUAGAUGUGCAUAGGUUUUAAGACAUGAUCUAUUUGAAGUUUCACAUUGUUUGUAUAUAAGGGUAAAUACCCGUGUUCUUUUAUUGCCUUGUCUUUUUUUAACGCUUUUGUUAUUUUAUUACUCUUUUUUUAUCAACUUUGUAUAUUGAUAGUUUUGCUACUCUACAUUUAUUCUGCACUUUUGAGGAAGAGCUGAAAGUAAGCAUUUCACUGUGCCAUUCCACCUUCUGUGCAUGUGACAAAUAAACAUUGAUUUAAUGUGUAGAUUGUGUAGAUUAGUUUUAACAUACUGGCAUACAAUUUUCCUAUUCUGUACAGCUUUUAAUAUGUAACUCUGUUUUGAAUAAAUUAAAUACAUGUAUUGUAUUACAGCAUUCCCAUUUUAUGCUGCUAUUUGUGGUUCUGUUUUCCUGGAUGGUUGGUACCAUUUUUUCCCAGUAGAUGGGGCGGAAAGAUUGUGUGAGUUAGAGAAACAACAGAGGUUCGGAAUGGAGAAGGGGGAUCGUAGAGAUGGGGGUAAAACUCUAACCACUAGUUUGUGGUGACACAGUGUGAUGUUAAACACAGUAACUAAACUGG